rnacentral:tRNA from 1 species
AUUAAGAUAAGCUACAUAAGCUAAUGGGCUCAUACCCCAAUGACAGAAUCUGCUAAGGA